rnacentral:rRNA from 1 species
GAUAAGCCGGUUGUGAAAGCCCCGGGCUCAACCUGGGAACGGCAUCCGGAACCGUCAGGCUAGAGUGCAGGAGAGGAAGGUAGAAUUCCCGGUGUAGCGGUGAAAUGCGUAGAGAUCGGGAGGAAUACCAGUGGCGAAGGCGGCCUUCUGGACUGACACUGACACUGAGGUGCGAAAGCGUGGGUAGCAAACAGGAUUAGAUACCCUGGUAGUCCACGCCGUAAACGAUGUCGACUAGCCGUUGGGCUCCUUGAGAGCCUUGUGGCGGAGUUAACGCAUUAAGUCGACCGCCUGGGGAGUACGGCCGCAAGGUUAAAACUCAAAUGAAUUGACGGGGGCCCGCACAAGCGGUGGAGCAUGUGGUUUAAUUCGAUGCAACGCGAAGAACCUUACCUACCCUUGACAUCCUGCGAAUCAGGUAGAGAUACCUGAGUGCCUUCGGGAACGCAGAGACAGGUGCUGCAUGGCUGUCGUCAGCUCGUGUUGUGAAAUGUUGGGUUAAGUCCCGCAACGAGCGCAACCCUUAUCCUUGUUUGCCAGCACGUAAUGGUGGGAACUCCAGGGAGACUGCCGGUGAUAAACCGGAGGAAGGUGGGGACGACGUCAAGUCAUCAUGGCCCUUACGAGUAGGGCUACACACGUGCUACAAUGGCAGAUACAGAGGGCAGCGAAGCUGCGAAGUGGAGCGAAUCCCUUAAAGUCUGUCGUAGUCCGGAUUGGAGUCUGCAACUCGACUCCAUGAAGUCGGAAUCGCUAGUAAUCGUGGAUCAGAAUGCCACGGUGAAUACGUUCCCGGGCCUUGCACACACCGCCCGU